GCCGGGGUAGCUCAGCCUGGUUAGAGUGCCAGUUGAUUGGUAAAAUCUGGAGGUCGUGGGUUCGAAACCCAUCCCCGGCA
rnacentral:tRNA from 1 species